rnacentral:rRNA from 1 species
UCUACGGGUGGCAGCAGUGAGGAAUAUUGGUCAAUGGGCGUAAGCCUGAACCAGCCAAGUCGCGUGAGGGAUGAAGGUUCUAUGGAUCGUAAACCUCUUUUAUAAGGGAAUCAAGUGCGGGACGUGUCCCGUUUUGUAUGUACCUUAUGAAUAAGGCUCGGCUAACUCCGUGCCAGCAGCCGCGGUAAUACGGAGGUUCCGAGCGUUAUCCGGAUUUAUUGGGUUUAAAGGGUGCGUAGGCGGCCUUGUAAGUCAGGGGGGAAAGUCUGUGGCUCAACCCUAGAAUUGCGGUUGAAACUGGGAGGCUUGAGUAUGUUUGAGGCAGGCGGAAGGCGUGGUGUAGCGGGGAAAUGCUUAGAUAUCACGCAGAACCCCGAGUGCGAAGGCAGCCUGCCAAGCCAUGACUGACGCUGAUGCACGAAAGCGUGGGGAUCAAACAGGAUUAGAUACCCCUGUAGUC